rnacentral:misc_RNA from 1 species
UUCCUUUCUAAUAUUUAAAUAAAUGGAAAAAAAAUAAUUUUAAAAUUUCUCAAUAUUUUCCGUCAUUAUUUUUUUUUUGUUUUUAUCUUAAGAUUGCCAAAAAGUUACUGAAUUGGAUUCUUAGGUUAUCUUUUACGUUUUGUAUUUUCAUUUUUCCUAAUUAGAGAUAUUAGGGAUCAAUUAUAGUAUACCAAAAUAAUUAACUAAUUAUUAUUUCUCAUAAAAAAAUAUAUAAAAAUUGAGCAAAUAAUGAUAUUUCAUCAUAAUAAUUCUUUAAUUUUUUUAUUUUUUG